UACGAUUUUUCGGUAUUCGCCCGGAUUCUACCAUUUUCACUUACUCAUACUGAUUCAACCCUUUUCCGGUACUCGCCCGGACAGUUUUUCGGUACUCGCACGGAUUCUACCAUUUCCCGAUUUUCGGCGGAUUUUUACAAUUUUUCGGUAUUCGCCCGGAUUCUACCAUUUUCAUAUACUCAUACUGAUUCAACCCUUUUCCGGUACUCGCCCGGACAGUUUUUCGGUACUCGCACGGAAUCUACCAUUUCCCGAUUUUCGGCGGAUUUUUAUGAUUUUUCGGUAUUCACCCGGAUUCUACCAUUUUCACUUGCUUAUACUAUUCAAGCCUUUUCCGGUACUCGCCCGGACAGUUUUUCGGUACUCGCACGG
rnacentral:lncRNA from 1 species